GUGGGGAAUAUUGGGCAAUGGGCGAAAGCCUGACCCAGCAACGCCGCGUGAAGGAAGAAGGUUUUCGGAUCGUAAACUUCUAUCCUUGGUGAAGAUAAUGACGGUAGCCAAGAAGGAAGCCCCGGCUAACUACGUGCCAGCAGCCGCGGUAAUACGUAGGGGGCAAGCGUUGUCCGGAAUGAUUGGGCGUAAAGGGCGCGUAGGCGGCCCGGUAAGUCUGAAGUGAAAGUCCUGCUUUUAAGGUGGGAAUUGCUUUGGAUACUGUCGGGCUUGAGGGCAGGAGAGGUAAGCGGAAUUCCCGGUGUAGCGGUGAAAUGCGUAGAGAUCGGGAGGAACACCAGUGGCGAAGGCGGCUUACUGGACUGUAACUGACGCUGAGGCGCGAAAGUGUGGGGAGCAAACAGGAUUAGAAACCCUGGUAGUCC
rnacentral:rRNA from 1 species